rnacentral:rRNA from 1 species
AGAGUUUGAUCCUGGCUCAGGACGAACGCUGGCGGCGUGCUUAACACAUGCAAGUCGAACGGACGAGGCCUAGCUUGCUAGGUACUCGAGUGGCGAACGGGUGAGUAACACGUCUGUCUGAUCUGCCUCGUACUUCACCAAUAAGCCUGGGAAACUGGGUCUAAUACUGGAUAGGACCAUGCUUUAGUGUGUGUGGUGGAUGGCGUACCUUCGGUACGAGAUGAGCCCGCGGCCUAUCAGCUUGUUGGUGGGGUAAUGGCCUACCAAGGCGUCGACGGGUAGCCGGCCUGAGAGGGUGGACGGCCACAUUGGGACUGAGAUACGGCCCAGACUCCUACGGGAGGCAGCAGUGGGGAAUAUUGCACAAUGGGCGCAAGCCUGAUGCAGCGACGCCGCGUGGGGGAUGACGGCCUUCGGGUUGUAAACCUCUUUCGCUAGGGACGAAGCUUUUGUGACGGUACCUAGAUAAGAAGCACCGGCUAACUACGUGCCAGCAGCCGCGGUAAUACGUAGGGUGCGAGCGUUGUCCGGAAUUACUGGGCGUAAAGAGCUCGUAGGUGGUUUGUCGCGUCGUCUGUGAAAUUCCGGGGCUUAACUUCGGGCGUGCAGGCGAUACGGGCAUAACUUGAGUGCUGUAGGGGAGACUGGAAUUCCUGGUGUAGCGGUGGAAUGCGCAGAUAUCAGGAGGAACACCGAUGGCGAAGGCAGGUCUCUGGGCAGUAACUGACGCUGAGGAGCGAAAGCAUGGGGAGCGAACAGGAUUAGAUACCCUGGUAGUCCAUGCCGUAAACGGUGGGCGCUAGGUGUGAGGGUCUUCCACGACUUUCGUGCCGUAGCUAACGCAUUAAGCGCCCCGCCUGGGGAGUACGGCCGCAAGGCUAAAACUCAAAGGAAUUGACGGGGGCCCGCACAAGCGGCGGAGCAUGUGGAUUAAUUCGAUGCAACGCGAAGAACCUUACCUGGGCUUGACAUAUGCAGGAUCGGCGUAGUGAUACGUUUUCCCUUGUGGUCUGUAUACAGGUGGUGCAUGGUUGUCGUCAGCUCGUGUCGUGAGAUGUUGGGUUAAGUCCCGCAACGAGCGCAACCCUUGUCUUAUGUUGCCAGCACGUGAUGGUGGGGACUCAUGAGAGACUGCCGGGGUUAACUCGGAGGAAGGUGGGGAUGACGUCAAAUCAUCAUGCCCCUUAUGUCCAGGGCUUCACACAUGCUACAAUGGUCGGUACAACGCGCUGCGAGCCUGUGAGGGUGAGCGAAUCGCUGAAAGCCGGCCUCAGUUCGGAUUGGGGUCUGCAACUCGACCCCAUGAAGUCGGAGUCGCUAGUAAUCGCAGAUCAGCAACGCUGCGGUGAAUACGUUCCCGGGCCUUGUACACACCGCCCGUCACGUCAUGAAAGUUGGUAACACCCGAAGCCAGUGGCCUAACCCUUGUGGGGGGAGCUGUCGAAGGUGGGAUCGGCGAUUGGGACGAAGUCGUAACAAGGUAGCCGUACCGGAAGGUGCGGCUGGAUCACCU